rnacentral:rRNA from 1 species
UCCGGUUGAUCCUGCCGGACAUGACCGCUAUCGGGGUGGGACUAAGCCAUGCGAGUCGUACGCCCUGGGCAAUGACAGGGCGUGGCGCACGGCUCCGUAAAACGUGGCUAAACUACCCUCAGGACGGGAAUAACCCCGGGAAACUGGGGCUAAUUCCCGAUAGAUGCAGAGGCCUGGAAUGGCUCUGCAUUUAAAGGGAGUUAGGAUCAUGCUUCCUAAUUCCGCCUGAGGAUGUGGCCACGGCCCAUCAGGUAGUUGGUGGGGUAACGGCCCACCAAGCCGAUAACGGGUACGGGCCCUGAGAGGGGGAGCCCGGAGAUGGCCACUGAGACAAGGGGCCAGGCCCUACGGGGCGCAGCAGGCGCGAAACCUCCGCAAUGGGCGAAAGCCCGACGGGGUCACCCCGAGUCCCACCUGCUGAAGGUGGGUUUUCCCUGGUCUAAAAAGCCAGGGGAAUAAGCGGGGGGCAAGCCUGGUGUCAGCCGCCGCGGUAACACCAGCCCCGCGAGUGGUCAUGACGUUUAUUGGGCUUAAAGCGUCCGUAGCCGGCUUGGUAUGUCUUCGGUCAAAUCCCACGGCCUAACCGUGGGGCCGCCGAAGAUACUACUAAGCUAGGGGGUGGGAGAAGCCGGGGGUACUCCGGGGGUAGGGGCAAAAUCCUAUAAUCCCCGGAGGACCACCAGUGGCGAAGGCGCCCGGCUAGAACACGCCCGACGGUGAGGGACGAAAGCUGGGGGAGCGAACCGGAUUAGAUACCCGGGUAGUCCCAGCUGUAAACGAUGCGGGCUAGGUGUCGGGUGGGCUUAGAGCUCACCCGGUGCCGAAGCGAAAGCGCUAAGCCCGCCGCCUGGGGAGUACGGCCGCAAGGCUGAAACUUAAAGGAAUUGGCGGGGGGGCACCACAAGGGGUGAAUGCUGCGGUUUAAUUGGAGUCAACGCCGGGAACCUUACCAGGGGCGACAGCAGGAUGAUGGCCAGGCUGACGACCUUGCCUGACACGCUGAGAGGAGGUGCAUGGCCGUCGCCAGUUCGUGCCGUGAGGUGUCCGGUUAAGUCCGGAAACGAACGAGACCCCCACCUCUAGUUGCUAGUGGGUCUCUGCGGGGACCCACGCAAUACUAGGGGGACUGCCGGCGUUAAGCCGGAGGAAGGAGGGGGCUACGGCAGGUCAGUAUGCCCCGAAACCCCUGGGCUACACGCGGCAUGCAAUGGUGGGGACAGAGGGAUCCAACCCCGAAAGGGGAAGGCAAUCCCUAAACCCCACCUAAGUUGGAAUCGAGGGCUGCAACUCGCCCUCGUGAAUACGAAAUCCCUAGUAACCGCGCGUCACCAUCGCGCGGUGAAUACGUCCCUGCCCCUUGCACACACCGCCCG